rnacentral:rRNA from 1 species
UGGCUCAGAUUGAACGCUGGCGGCAGGCCUAACACAUGCAAGUCGAACGGUAGCACAGAGAGCUUGCUCUCGGGUGACGAGUGGCGGACGGGUGAGUAAUGUCUGGGAAACUGCCUGAUGGAGGGGGAUAACUACUGGAAACGGUAGCUAAUACCGCAUAACGUCGCAAGACCAAAGAGGGGGACCUUCGGGCCUCUUGCCAUCAGAUGUGCCCAGAUGGGAUUAGCUAGUAGGUGGGGUAACGGCUCACCUAGGCGACGAUCCCUAGCUGGUCUGAGAGGAUGACCAGCCACACUGGAACUGAGACACGGUCCAGACUCCUACGGGAGGCAGCAGUGGGGAAUAUUGCACAAUGGGCGCAAGCCUGAUGCAGCCAUGCCGCGUGUAUGAAGAAGGCCUUCGGGUUGUAAAGUACUUUCAGCGGGGAGGAAGGUGUUGUGGUUAAUAACCACAGCAAUUGACGUUACCCGCAGAAGAAGCACCGGCUAACUCCGUGCCAGCAGCCGCGGUAAUACGGAGGGUGCAAGCGUUAAUCGGAAUUACUGGGCGUAAAGCGCACGCAGGCGGUCUGUCAAGUCGGAUGUGAAAUCCCCGGGCUCAACCUGGGAACUGCAUUC